GAUGAACGCUGGCGGCGUGCUUAACACAUGCAAGUCGAACGGAAAGGCUCCUACUUUCCUGGUCACUCGAUUGGCGAACGGGGGAGUAACACGCGUGUGAUCUGUCCUUCACUUCGGGAUAUGCCUUGGAAACUGGGUCUAAUAUCGGAUAGGACGUAUUUAUGGAUGCCAUUGUGGAAAGAUUUUCGGUGUUGGCUGGGCUCGCGGCUAAUUAGCCUGUUGGUGGGGUAAUUGCCGACCAAGGGGUCGACCGGUAGCCGGCCUUGGAGGGGGGACGGCCUCAUUGGGACUGAGGGAGGGACCAGUCGGGUACGGGAGGCAACAGUGGGGAGUCUUGCGCAGUAGGGGCAAGCCUGAGACGGCGGCGCCGCGUGGGGGAAGCCGGCCUUCGGGUUGUAAACUCAUUUCGAUGGGGACGAAGCGCAAGUGACGGUACCUGGAGAGGAAGCACCGGCUAACUACGUG
rnacentral:rRNA from 1 species